AGGCAUGUCCGCCAUGCGAAAUCGGGGGGCUGCCAUUCCGGUAUUGAAACCAACUGACUAUUUCUGUAAUCUGAUGUCUCUAGUACCUCGAUUACACAAAGCAAUUAGAGAGAUAUUUCGUUAAACAUCUCCAGCUAUUAGAAUGUUUCGAUCUAAAUGUUUAAUAUUGUUUAUUAUAAAAGUAACAUCGAUGUUUACGUCAUAUCAGGGAAUGCUCCGUCUUCGAUUUUACAAUGGACAGAUAAAUUAAUACGCGCCCAGUUUUAGCAGUUCCGACUGAAUUUAACGUCUGUUAUUUCUUUUGCAGAAUGCCUUGUUUCACAAAAAAGAACACUGUUCAGAUAUUUUCUCUGGACUGUCAAUUUCUGCAUUUCAUAAUCAUGUGAUACCUGUGUUGGAGCCCUCCCAAAAACCUCCCCUGUAAAAUUUCAAAGUUAAGGAGAUCAUUCAAAUGACAGAGGUUUUGGUCCAUCUUGGUUUGUCUCAACAGUUAAUCUUUUGGAAAGCAGUGUUGGAGAAAAUAUCAGCAACAUGUGAAGACUGUGAUUUAGUUUCAUAUGAUAUGACUAAAGAAAGUUAAUAUUUUUGAUUCCAUGGUUGUAUGAACAAAUGCUUUGAACUUUCCAAACAUCAUUGAAAAAGAAAAUAUGAUGACCAAACAAAAAUACAUAUUUGAACUUUCCACGAGUUUACAAUGAAGAACAUUUUGGGAUCUUGAUACAGGAUAUUAUUGUGUUUAGUGUUUUAGUGUUUUAUCUAACCCAUGCUAAGAACACAGGUCUCAAAUAUCUUAGAGAGUUAUAUUAGAGUUAUAUUGUUAGAAUUGAAGCUUAUUUAUAAAAUUAUACCUUAUAUCUUUAAAGAAAGUUUCACAAAAAAAUAGUCAAACUUGCAUAUACUGGUUAACAUGUUAAAAGAAAUAUAAUAUCCUGGAAGUGAUUAAGAAUAAAAAAAAAAGUUCAUUUAUCAUCC